AUGAAGACCAACAGGAAUCCAUCUGGAGGCCAAGAGUGUCCCUGGUGGGAUUUCUCACCCUCCCAGGAAGGACUCAACUGCCCCAUCCCACACCAAGCGCCUGUCCUGCUGUCCCCCGGGUCCUGCAGAGCUGCCCGCUGUCGUCACACCUCGUGGAGAGCGGGGCUGCUGAGCCCUCGGUGUACACGGGACACAAGGGCCGGCUCCAGCUUCCCCAUAAACCAAAUCCCACAUUGCCCUCGAGGGCUCGUAGAAUCUGGGAAGAGACCGAAGAGGAAGAGAACAUUCAUUCUGAGAAAGGCCGUCCAGCUGCGUCAGCAAGUGCCUAAUUCACUUUCAUGGAGGCUGAGAAGAGCGGGAGGACCUCUGGGGCUCAAAUUUGGCCCAGAAUCUUCCCCAGAAAUCACCUCUGCAUAUGGUGCUGAUGCGAGCUUUGUGACGGAUGGUUCCAGAAACCCUGAGAAAGCUGUAGCAAUGAGCAGACAUCAUCCAAGAGUGACUGAGAUGGUCUCAGGAGGGCCAGAGAGGAGGCCACGCCACCCCACAUGGGGUGUGGGUUCCACGCAGGCCACGCUGCGGGCGGCUCUCACUGGGCUCGGGGCCAGCUCUCGGACUGUGAAGACCUGGAGCACACAGCCGUCUGAGGCGAUGAGACAGUUGGCUCCACGCUUUGUCGAGGAGCCGCCCAGGAGCAGCUUGAAUUCUGCGAAACCAUAA
rnacentral:lncRNA from 1 species